UCCAGUUGUGCAGGAUCAUACUAUUGUGCAUGGUUUUCCCAGUAAAGGGUUGUGGCAGCAAGAGCUGUAAAACAGAGUAAUCGGCGGCUUAUUCCAUCGAUAAAGCAGAGAAUAAGCCAGCUAGUGGUGACAGUGGCGAGGAAAAAAUACUUCACCAACUGAUGAAGUGAAGAGAAACUUGUCUCUCUUGGGCACGACCAUUAUUCAUGUCCAUACGUUCUGUGUGAAGCUGCAGUCUAUACACCAGGCGCUGGAGAAGCUGGACGUUCAUCGUGGAGAAGCUGCAGGAAACAGUCUCAUGCACUCCAUUUCUCCAUGAUGACCACAGCAUAAGCUCGGGAUACGGCCUGGUCCAGGAUUAUGGAUACCUUGGGAUCAUCUUCUCACAGGUCUUGGAUCGCAUCAAUGGCACUGCAGAAUCUCGGGAAUGUGUAUCCUCAGGUGGAAAUAAAAAAUAAAGAAAAUGAUUAGCUUUG
rnacentral:lncRNA from 1 species